GCAUAAUCCUCCUUCCAAAAUUCAACUUCUCUCUCUCUCUCUCUCCCUCUUCCUGUGAGUGUGUCCCUCUGCUUCGAUUGCUACCAUUGAUCGAAGGGUUUGCGAGGGUUUAAGCUAAACCUAACCCAAACCCUAAAUUUCCCAAUUUCUUCUCUCGAUCUUCCACUCACUCUCAUCAUCCUCGAAAUUGCUAAGCGAUAGUCUCUCCCUCCAUCCCUCAGAUCCAAUCAAUGAGGUGGCGUUGGUGAGGUUUGAUUCUCGGUGAGUUUUAAAGAUGAGGAAUAAUAGGGAUUUGGGGAAUGUAUGUUGGAUUUUCAAGUGAUAUGAAGUGCUGAAUAUGAGCAAUGGUGGUGGGAAGACUGGAAGACAGCUUGAACAGCCUACCACAUGCAGGAGGAGAAAAGUGGGUGGUGGUGAUGAUUUUGCCCAAGCAAUUGCAAAGAUUGCAGUAGCACAAGUAUGUGAGAGUCAGGGUUUUCAGGCAUUUCAGCAGUCAGCUCUCGAGGCAUUAUCUGACGUUGCUGCUCGGUAUAUUUUGAACGUUGGGAAGUCUGCACAUUACUAUGCUAAUCUUGCUGGUAGAGCUGAAUGCAAUGUUUUUGAUGUCAUUCAAGGGUUAGAAGAUAUGGGAUCAGUACAGGGGUUUACAGGUGCCUCGGAUAUUGAUCAUUGCCUUGUAAGUUCGGGCAUUAUUCGGGAAAUUGUUCACUUUGUUAAUGAUGCUGAACCAAUUCUGUUUGCACACCCCUUUCCUCGGUUUCCAGUCGUGAAAGAACGGGUGCUGACUCCUAGUUUUUUGCAAAGAGGAGAAGAGCCUCCUGGGGAGCAUAUUCCUGCUUGGUUGCCAGCAUUCCCUGAUCCACAAACUUAUUCACGGUUACCUACAGUGAAUGGAAGAGGGAAAGAACCUCAUGCUACCAAAUUUGAGCAAGAAAGAGAGAAUGGCAAGGGGGAGCGGCCUCUGUUAAAUUUGCAGCAGCAUAUGGUCUCAAAUAUGUUUGAAAAGUCCACCUUGAUCGACCCUGCAGAUGCUAAGGCUAAAGGAGUAGCAGCGGAAAGGAACCCGUUUCUUGCUGCACCUUUGAGAAUUGAGGAUAAGGAAAUUGCUUCUGUUGCUCCUCCAGCUAAGCUCUUUAAUGGUGUAGCUUCUGACAAGCCUGUUGUGGAAAAUUUUGUUGAAAAUGAACCCAUUUCAGUAUUGGAGACAUUUGCUCCUGCAAUUGAAGCAAUGAAAAGCACAUGCUGUCAUUCCAAGGAAGAUCAGACGAAAUUUCGUUUGAAUGAGAAGCCUGCUGUGCGUUUUAAGAUUGGAAUUAAAAACAAAUUCUUAGGAAGGUCCAUUGGUUUGAUUCCUCAAAAAGAGGAGCAUAAAAAGACUUUACCGUGGUUUACAAUGGAAGAUGGGAAGGAUGACAGGCAAAAGAGAGCCGAGAAAAUUCUGAGGGAAUCUUUAGAAAACCCAGAUCAGCUUGUUCAGUUGUAAAUUAAAUUGCUUCAAUUAGAAUCUGUAUACUUGAUCAGGAGAAUGUCAGAAUAGUUAGUUUUGGGAUAUUGAAAUCUAGGUAACUGUCUGCUUAUGGGCAUUAUAGGAUGGAUGUUACUAUUUUGCUCAGACAUGUUCCCAUUUUAACAAUCUUUCAGGGUGGAAACUCAAGAUGGAUUGAAAGGUUUGCUGCAAUGGUGGUUUGAAAUGUUUGCUGCAAUGGUGGUUUUUUAGUGUUAAGGACCAAAUAGGGCCUCGAUAAAUUUUUCAGGGACCAAAUAGGACCUUCAGCUUUCCAAAACUCCAACAAGACAUAAGACACGUUCAAAACGACGUCGUAUUACUUCCACGCUGGCAUACUUAACGGUGACUCAGCAAAGUAACGGUCCACGUGUGCUCCGUUAGUUGGGCCAUCAGAUACCAACUAACGGAAGGACGAACGUGGCCCUUUUUUUUUCAAAUAUUAGGGACUAAAAUGAGCCUUUUUUAUUGUUCAGGACUAAAAUGUGCCUCG